CAGUCGCCGCGGGAAAACGUAGGGUCCGAGCGUUGUCCGGAAUUACUGGGCGUAAAGAGCUCGUAGGUGGUUUGUCGCGUUGUUCGUGAAAACUCACAGCUUAACUGUGGGCGUGCGGGCGAUACGGGCAGACUAGAGUACUGCAGGGGAGACUGGAAUUCCUGGUGUAGCGGUGGAAUGCGCAGAUAUCAGGAGGAACACCGGUGGCGAAGGCGGGUCUCUGGGCAGUAACUGACGCUGAGGAGCGAAAGCGUGGGGAGCGAACAGGAUUAGAUACCCCUGUAGUCCCUGUCUCUUAUAC
rnacentral:rRNA from 1 species